CAGUCGCCACGGUAAUACGAAGGGGGCUAGCGUUGCUCGGAAUGACUGGGCGUAAAGGGCGCGUAGGCGGUUUGUACAGUUGGAUGUGAAAUUCCUGGGCUUAACCUGGGGGCUGCAUUCAAUACGUGCAGGCUUGAGUGGGGAAGAGGGUCGUGGAAUUCCCAGUGUAGAGGUGAAAUUCGUAAAUAUUGGGAAGAACACCGGUGGCGAAGGCGGCGACCUGGUCCUUGACUGACGCUGAGGCGCGAAAGCGUGGGGAGCAAACAGGAUUAGAUACCCCGGUAGUCCCUGUCUCUUAUAC
rnacentral:rRNA from 1 species